rnacentral:siRNA from 1 species
CUUGCGCAGAUUCUUACGGGC